rnacentral:rRNA from 1 species
GCAUCGAUGAAGAACGCAGCAAACGGCGAAACGUCAUGUGACCUGCAUGCUUUGCGAAUCAUCAAAUCUUUGAACGCAUCUUGCACCUGCGGCCGUGCGGCCCAGGUAUGCUUGAUUGAGUAUCGUGACGACCAUCACGCCCAUGGGGACGCGGGCGUGGAGCUGAGGGUGAUGUCUGUCGUUGUGCGCGCCGAAUUGCUACUCGGCCGCCGGACGCAUCUCCCUUCAAAGGCAGCACGCAGCCGAUGAGGUAACACCGUCAGAGGCGCGCGCGUGGACGAGGGGUGGGCGCGGACGGUUGCCGUGCGCGCUCGCUCUCUCAUGUGAGGCAGUGGUGGUGGUGGUGGUGGCGUCGGUCAUUCUCGCAAUGGCCGCCGCCGCCGCCGCCGCCGCCACGUCUCUCGAUACAUCCAUCUCAAUCAAGUAAGAGGACCCGCUGAACUUAAGCAUAUCAAUAAGCGGAGGA